ACGAGAAGACCCUAUAGAAUUUUAUUUAAUUAUAAGAUUUGAAUUUUAGUAAUUGAAUUUUAAAUUUUUAUAUGAGAAUUUGAUUGGGGUGAUUGAAAAAUUUAUUAAACUUUUUUUUGAAUUUUAGUCAUAGAUUUAUGAUCUAUUGAUCCAAUAUUGUUGAUUAUAAGAUUAAAUUACCUUAGGGAUAACAGCGUAAUUUUUUUAGAGAGUUCUUAUCGAUAAAAGAGAUUGCGACCUCGAUGUUGGAUUAAAAUUAAUUUUUAAUGUAGGAGUUAAAAAAUUAGGUCUGUUCGACCUUUAAAAUUUUACAUGAUCUGAGUUUAAAUCGGCGUGAGCCAGGUUGGAUUCUAUCUUUAAUAAAAUUGAAUAUUUUAGUACGAAAGGACCAGAUAUUUAUUAUAAUAAUUUAUUUAGAAUAUUA
rnacentral:rRNA from 1 species